rnacentral:lncRNA from 11 species
AGGCGUCACACCCCCUAUCUUCUCCUGCUUACUUCUCCCACAGGUCGACGUGACCAUGAACGUGGAGGGCCAGGAGAAGCACAUCCGUAUCCUCAAGGGCGGGGACCACUUUGGGGAGCUCUCCCUCAUCCGGUAAGCUGUUUGAAGGGGGUGGAAGGAGGCAUGGGGAGAGGGGAAACUUGCUCCUCUGCUGUUGGGGCUGUGACCAUUUGCGGGAUUGAGGCUUGUCACGGGAGGUCCAGGUUCUUCACCCUUAUUUAUUUUUCUUGGUUGCAGCAACAUCCGCCGGACGGCCAGCUGCCGGGCGCUGGAGGAGGUCACCUGCAUCGCCGUCUCCAAGGAAGACUUCCAGGAGCUGAGCCCACUCUGCGUCCAUGAGACGUAAGUAUCUGAGACCUCUUUUGGGGGGCAGGGGGGGGGGGGAGAUGCUGAUGGUCAAGUGGGUUUUCU